GUUUGUAUGCGUGUGCUUGUGUGUGUGUUGUGUUGUGUUUGUGCGUGUGCAAGUGCGUGCUUGUUACGAACCCUCAUUUAUAUUAAGUUGGUAUUCAUUUUUGGCACCCCCUGCUGGGGCAGGUAUCUCUGUUUACCCCUUUCUCCCUGUGGUCGCAGGCUAACGACCGAUUGCAGGCACCUGAUACCUCCCUACUUAAGGAGAUCCACCUGCGGUAGCGCGCUCUCUCUCUUCCACCUCCUGAAACCCAAAGGAUCGUGCAACCGGCUCCUGGCUUCGCCACCGUCUUCCGUGGUUUCAUCACUAUCAUCCCCUGCUUUGGGAUCAUGACGAUCUGGACCAGCCCCACCACGAUGAUGAGGCCCAGAGCGAGGAGCUUCGCCACGGUGAAGACGUCCUGGAUCCGGGUGGCCCAACGAACGCUGGAGCAGUUCACCCAGGAGUCUGCUGGAAGAUCACCCACCCAACCAGGCCGCCGAAGAUCUCGGUGACGUAGGAGUAGUCUCCUCCAGACUUGGGGAUGGUGACGCCCAGCUCGGCAUAGCACAUGGAGCCCAGGGCGCAGAUCCCUCCGCCCAGCACCCACACGAUGAGGGACAGGCCCACGGAGCCCGCGUGCUCCAGGACCCCCUUAGGAGAGAUGAAGAUCCCCGAGCCGAUGAUGUUUCCUGGGGAGAGCAAGGAGAAAGGACACGGUUCAGCAUGAACGUGUGUGUGUGUGUGUGUGUGUGUGUGUGUGUGUGUGUGUGUGUGUGUGUGUGUGUGUGUGUGUGUGUGUGUGUGUGUGUGUGUGUGUGUGUGUGUGUGUGGGGGUUUGUUUGUUUGUGUGUGAAGCUGCUCCAUAAUAGUGUCUGAACCAUGAUGUGGGUGCGCUCAAAUGCGCUUACCCAACCCUCACCCUAAGCAUUAAGCUCAUCAGCUAAUUGCAGGUUUGUUUCUCCCCUGUAAAAGAAGAGCCUCAUUUCAAAUCUUUGAUUUUCAACCGGUUUCACAGUAACGGUCAAUAACAAGUAAGUACAAGUCAGUUUUAACAGAACCGGUUUUAUAGAAAGGGAAGAACAGCUCGAUACAUAUAUGUACAUAAUUUAGAUUUACCAUUUUGUGUAUUUUAUGUAAGGCGAAAUUUCAAAGUUUUUUUUCUUUUAGAGAGACAUGCUGAAUAAAAACAACAUGUUUUCAAACACAAAAAUAAUCGUUUGAAUAAUCGUGAUUUCAAUAUUGGCCAAAAUAAUCGUGAUUAUGACUUUUCCCAUAAUCAAACAGCCCUAAGGCACUCUGUCAAAAGGGAGAGCCACAGUUCGGGGGCCAGUACUGUUCCACCCUCAGGCCGCCCGCAGAGGCAGUAACAGAGCCCAAACCACGUCUAAAGAGAGUGAACCGUCACAGCGGCACAGGGACGAGACGUUUUGGUGACAUGUUGUGCAGUGGUGUAGUGCAGGGUACACGCAGUGGUAGCUCCUCAUUCUUCAGUCAGUACUGCGUCGACCCACUUCAAAACCUCCUCUGAUGCGCGGUAUUGCAAUGUUCUGCGCUAGCCAUACAGUCAAGCACAUGAGUAGCCUAUCCUAUUGCAUAUGAAUAAAUGCAAAUGAGACCUCAAUAAAGCACAAUAAAGAGACUAUCUUGCCGGAAACAGUGGCUGAAAUGUACUGAGCCUCUCAUGGUAGAAAAAUACCCUUGAUGUGUAAAUCAGUUCCCUCGGAUUCCCAUUCCCCACGCAGUUUUCUAAAUCCGUUCCCUCUGAUGUGGUUUGUUCUUCACAGCAGGGAUCCCCCAUGGAGCGCUGUGACGGAGAACGAAUAUCUGAUUCAGACAGACAUCUAUACAGUAUCCAUCACUUUCUUUUCACAUUUGCUAUAGGCCUAUUAGUCAAAUAGAGUUUUUGCAUUACAUAAAGUAAAACUUAAAUAUUGCUAUUUUUGACAUAUUAUUUUUAACAUAUUGUUGAAUUCUUUGCAUGAUGAUUUUUUGAACAGCUUAUAUAAUAAUAAUAAAUAAUAAUGAUACAUUUAAUUUAGAGGCGCCUUUCAAGACACCCAAGGUCACCUGAACACCCAAGGUCACCUUCACCUUCUUAUAUGCAUGCAUUAGGCCUGUGUAUGACCAUUAAUAUUUGCAAACUGCCGCUUGACAAAUAAUGUUAAUUUUAUAAUGUUGGCACAGACUAUCUGUUGCAAGAGACCGUUUACAAAAUAAACUACUGCCCCAUAAACUACAUACAUGCAUGAGAGAAUAGUUGUCAAAUCUUCCUGCAUGGAUGUACUAAGGAAUAAGGAAUAGCUCACUCAAAAUGGGUAAUUAUGUAACUGUCUCACCCUAUAGUCUGUGGGCCACUAUUGUUUCCAAAAUCGGAACCUCUUCUGUGGUUAAUGUUAGUUUCAUAAUAAUCCUUACUCCCUGAAGUCAAGCAGAAGAAAUGAAGUGACAACGUGCAAACACUGGCCCAUUUUUGAGUGAACUAAAUAUGCAAGAGGAUUCUUACCCACCGUAUUCUAUGUCACUGUUUAUAACGUAGGGCGUUUAUCCUCUGGUGACGGGCCACUUUAAAUAAUUAAGAGUACACCCACUUCUCCAGGAAACACGUCUCAUGUGAGUCUCCCUGUUCCCCUUCAAUUUCUCCUCCAACUUAUUUCCGAUCGCACACAUUGCUCGCACAAAUUUGCGGUUGUAACGUCACACAUCAAUCAAUGUUGUGUACGACGCAGUGCAACUCUGCGUUUGAAGGGUGGCAUAAAUCUUCUCAGCUAGCAAAAGCCCCUCAACACUCACACGUCACGCAGGGUGCUGACACUAUGUGUUACACGUCAAGAUCUGAUUUCUGAGCAAUGGGCUGCUAUGUAAGAGCACCCAUGGGUGGCUUUGCACCGGCUGUAUUUGGUUCUGUUUAAAACAUUAGGGCCCUACCAUAUUUACGGCAAUUUUACAGGAUCUCUUUGCAAAAAGGGUUUUAGUCUGUUGU